GAUGAACGCUGGCGGCGUGCCUAAUACAUGCAAGUCGAGCGAACGGACGAGAAGCUUGCUUCUCUGAUGUUAGCGGCGGACGGGUGAGUAACACGUGGAUAACCUACCUAUAAGACUGGGAUAACUUCGGGAAACCGGAGCUAAUACCGGAUAAUAUUUUGAACCGCAUGGUUCAAAAGUGAAAGACGGUCUUGCUGUCACUUAUAGAUGGAUCCGCGCUGCAUUAGCUAGUUGGUAAGGUAACGGCUUACCAAGGCAACGAUGCAUAGCCGACCUGAGAGGGUGAUCGGCCACACUGGAACUGAGACACGGUCCAGACUCCUACGGGAGGCAGCAGUAGGGAAUCUUCCGCAAUGGGCGAAAGCCUGACGGAGCAACGCCGCGUGAGUGAUGAAGGUCUUCGGAUCGUAAAACUCUGUUAUUAGGGAAGAACAUAUGUGUAAGUAACUGUGCACAUCUUGACGGUACCUAAUCAGAAAGCCACGGCUAACUACGUGCCAGCAGCCGCGGUAAUACGUAGGUGGCAAGCGUUAUCCGGAAUUAUUGGGCGUAAAGCGCGCGUAGGCGGUUUUUUAAGUCUGAUGUGAAAGCCCACGGCUCAACCGUGGAGGGUCAUUGGAAACUGGAAAACUUGAGUGCAGAAGAGGAAAGUGGAAUUCCAUGUGUAGCGGUGAAAUGCGUAGAGAUAUGGAGGAACACCAGUGGCGAAGGCGACUUUCUGGUCUGUAACUGACGCUGAUGUGCGAAAGCGUGGGGAUCAAACAGGAUUAGAUACCCUGGUAGUCCACGCCGUAAACGAUGAGUGCUAAGUGUUAGGGGGUUUCCGCCCCUUAGUGCUGCAGCUAACGCAUUAAGCACUCCGCCUGGGGAGUACGACCGCAAGGUUGAAACUCAAAGGAAUUGACGGGGACCCGCACAAGCGGUGGAGCAUGUGGUUUAAUUCGAAGCAACGCGAAGAACCUUACCAAAUCUUGACAUCCUUUGACAACUCUAGAGAUAGAGCUUUCCCCUUCGGGGGACAAAGUGACAGGUGGUGCAUGGUUGUCGUCAGCUCGUGUCGUGAGAUGUUGGGUUAAGUCCAGCAACGAGCGCAACCCUUAAGCUUAGUUGCCAUCAUUAAGUUGGGCACUCUAAGUUGACUGCCGGUGACAAACCGGAGGAAGGUGGGGAUGACGUCAAAUCAUCAUGCCCCUUAUGAUUUGGGCUACACACGUGCUACAAUGGACAAUACAAAGGGCAGCGAAACCGCGAGGUCAAGCAAAUCCCAUAAAGUUGUUCUCAGUUCGGAUUGUAGUCUGCAACUCGACUACAUGAAGCUGGAAUCGCUAGUAAUCGUAGAUCAGCAUGCUACGGUGAAUACGUUUCCGGGUCU
rnacentral:rRNA from 1 species